AUUAGUUCAAGAUUCGUUCACGACUCGUUCAUUUUACUGUUCGAGAGUCAAAGAGUCGGUCUUCCCAUCACUAUCUAGAAGACCUUAAACACAAGGAUGAAAUCGAUUGGUCGAUACACGUCAUUACUUUGUUUUUUUGGGUUUUUUUUUUUUCAAAAUGGACGACAGGACAUUUUGAACCCAGCGCUAAGAGUAUAGGAAUGGGCUGUGACGUAGACAACGUUUGUUUUAAUAAACGGACCCUAACGAUACGAUAACCAUAACGUUACCGUCCGGUAACCGAUAAUGACACGAAGUUUAAUGUGUGUCGAGUGCUUUAUUUACGCUGAAACCGCCAGAGGGCAAUGCUGGAUUCUGCUAUUAGCUACCGAGCUAACCUCGGCUAAUAACAAACAUGGCGACGGUUGAGGAGGUUGUGACGUCGUUCUGUGGGAUUCACUGAACACAGAGCGGCGUGCGGACGGAGAUUUCUCCUCCCUGUUCUUUUUCUGUCGUUGUCGUCACUGCCCCCACGAUUUCUAGCGGCACCAAACGAGAUAACUGCACAGGCUGCUGAUAAUCAAUAUCUCUAUGAGGGGAAACUCCCUUUUUGUCCACAAUCACGGUUCAAAAAGUCAUGAUAACUGUCGAGGCUUACAAUCAAAGCAGCGAUAAAAACUAUUGCAGGAAAGAGGGGAACGUCGACGUUCCCUCCGGGGGAUAAAAUCAGCAGGA